GUCGUAACAAGGUCUCCGUUGGUGAACCAGCGGAGGGAUCAUUACCGAGUUUACAACUCCCAAACCCAAUGUGAACGUUACCAAACUGUUGCCUCGGCGGGAUCUCUGCCCCGGGUGCGUCGCAGCCCCGGACCAAGGCGCCCGCCGGAGGACCAACCAAAACUCUUAUUGUAUACCCCCUCGCGGGUUUUUUUUAUAAUCUGAGCCUUCUCGGCGCCUCUCGUAGGCGUUUCGAAAAUGAAUCAAAACUUUCAACAACGGAUCUCUUGGUUCUGGCAUCGAUGAAGAACGCAGCGAAAUGCGAUAAGUAAUGUGAAUUGCAGAAUUCAGUGAAUCAUCGAAUCUUUGAACGCACAUUGCGCCCGCCAGUAUUCUGGCGGGCAUGCCUGUCCGAGCGUCAUUUCAACCCUCGAACCCCUCCGGGGGGUCGGCGUUGGGGAUCGGCCCUGCCUUGGCGGUGGCCGUCUCCGAAAUACAGUGGCGGUCUCGCCGCAGCCUCUCCUGCGCAGUAGUUUGCACACUCGCAUCGGGAGCGCGGCGCGUCCACAGCCGUUAAACACCCAACUUCUGAAAUGUUGACCUCGG
rnacentral:rRNA from 1 species